UGAGUCUCUCUGAGGUGAUGCUCCUCCUGUC
rnacentral:piRNA from 1 species